UACAGACUCAAAAAGUCAACCGCAGAUGCUGGCAGACCUGCUGAAUUUUUCCAGGUUUUGUCGUUCCCACUCCUGAAGGUGUUGCUAGUGUAUGAAGCUGCGAUUACCUUUGCAAAAUGAGCUUGGAGAGUGAGUCAUCCCACUGCAAACCAACAACAACCACUUAUAUUUAUAUAGCACCUCUGAUAUAAUGAAACGUCCCAAGGUGCUUCACAGGAGCAUUUAAAAGAAAAUAUGACAUUGAACCACGUGCGGAGACGUUAGAUCAGACGACCAAAAGCCUGGUCAAAAAGGCACCAGCAGAUCGAGGUUCACAAGGCAGCCCAUUAUAACUCCGAGCCCCCAAACCAUGUCAGAAGAGGAAGCUAAGGAGGAACUGUCACUGCACUCACCUGCACCCAACACCAGUGCAGAGACACAUACCUCGACGGGGCAUGGAUCUUGAUUAGGCUCCUGCCAUCUGUGGGGAACAGAAGCUGCUUGCAGGCCUUUGCAGCUCACAGCAUGAUGCCCAAGGACACAUCUGAAAUGUGUACUGCUGCCUUUCCAUGUUGACCCUCGAUCUCUCAAGCUGCUGGCUCUGUUUUGACACUUUGACAAUGCUUCCAUUCUGAGGGUCGCAGGCUCCCUUUAAACUGUGAAGCCAAUAAGCAUGCUGUGGGUCAUCAUUAUUCCCGCUCACUCCAUUUGGUCAGGAAGCUUGGAAGUCAGGCACCAGGAGGUUGAGGCCGACGAGACAGCCCAUCAUAAUUCCCGCCCCCACACCACGUCCGAAGAGGAAGCUAAGGAAGAACCGUCACAGCGUUCACCCGCACACACCACCAGCGCACAUACACAAACCUCGGUGGGGCAUAGCUCUUGAUCAGGCUCAAGGUCAGGGGGUUGAGCGUCAGCCUGACACCCCGAGGAUCUCCUCUCAGGACAUUCCAAGGGUGUCCAGCCAUUCAGUCCCCUCUGCCUGUGACCCCCUCCACUCCAGCUGC